rnacentral:rRNA from 1 species
AUGGCUGAAUCAGUGAUUCUUUUAGCUGUGGCAAAGAUUGGUGCUGCUCUGGGGAAUGAAGCAAUCAAUCAGGCUAGUUCACAAUUCAAAAAGUUCAUUGCGCAGCUAACAGAGCUUCAAGGCAGCAUGGGUCGCAUAAGAAGAGAACUCAGGCUAAUUCAUGAAUUUCUUUGCCGAAUGGAUGUGAGGAAUCACAAGAAUCCAACAUAUGAAAUCUGGGUGGAGGAGGUGAGAAUGCUUGCAUAUGGGAUUGAGGAUAUUGCGGACGAGUAUUUGCAUAUUGUCGGUCAGAAACAUCAUGGUGGAUGGAGAAUCUAUCUGAAAAAAGGAUUCAAGCAUCCAAAUGUCUUGCUUUCUUUAAAUAGGAUAGCUUCAUUGGUUAAGGAAGCAGAGAUCAAUCUUGUGCACCUGUUCCAGGCCAAGGAUCGGUGGGUUCCGAUAGUAGGUGGCCUUAACAGUUUCCUGGAAGCUCUGGGACUCGAGGAACGCUCUCGUGUUCAGGAAUGA